GAUAUAGAGUCUUCUAGCCCCCGGACGGUUUAUCAUAAAAAAAAAUCUCACCAUUCGUUGCCUAUAACCCGCGGAAACUUACGCUUAUAACGCCUCGUCCUACUUUGGAAAGCGGGGGCUCUUCUGACCUCGCGCGAUUGGAUGAGCCUAUGUCCGAUCCCCUAGUUGGAGAGGCAACGGCUUAUCAAGGGGACGAUCCGUACCUGGUCUGAGGGGAUGAUUUCUGCCCCGGGACUGAAACCCCGCCCGCCUUCCUACCGGAGGCAGCAUUGGGGAACUUUGGACAAUGGGCGAAAGCCUGUUUCUGCCAUGCCCCGUGUGUGAAGAAGGCUUUCACGAUCCUAGCACUUUCAGCGGGGAAGAAUGCCUGUCAGUCACUACCCCCCAAAGCGACAUCUCCCGCACAAAAAGUCCGUCUAAUUCCCUGCCGCCAGCCACGUUAAUACGGAGGGUGCAAAACUUUACUCGUAAUUACUGGGCAUCAAGCUCGCGUAAGCGGCGUGUUCCGUUUUGUGCGAAAGUUCCGGGCUCCACCUGGGAACCGGCAUCCGGAACGGGUAGGCUAGAGUGCACGAGAGGAAGGUAGAAUUCCCGGUGUAACGGUGAAAUGCGUAGAGAUCGGGAGGAAUACCAUUGGUCGAANGUGGCCUUCCGGACUGAUACU
rnacentral:rRNA from 1 species